rnacentral:rRNA from 1 species
ACGGCUCAGUAACACGUGGACAACCUACCCUUAGGUCGGGGAUAAACCCGGGAAACUGGGUAUAAUACCCGAUAGAUCUCGACUGCUGGAAUGCAUCGAGAUCGAAAGCUCCGGCGCCUAAGGAUGGGUCUGCGGCCUAUCAGGUAGUAGUGGGUGUAGCGUACCUACUAGCCUACGACGGGUACGGGUUGUGAGAGCAAGAGCCCGGAGAUGGAUUCUGAGACACGAAUCCAGGCCCUACGGGGUGCAGCAGGCGCGAAAACUUUACAAUGCUGGAAACAGCGAUAAGGGGACCUCGAGUGCCAGGUUACAAAUCUGGCCGUCGUGAUGCCUAAAAAGCAUUGCAUAGCAAGGGCCGGGCAAGACCGGUGCCAGCCGCCGCGGUAACACCGGCGGCUCGAGUGGUAACCGUUAUUAUUGGGUCUAAAGGGUCUGUAGCCGGCCGGAUAAGUCUCUUGGGAAAUCCAGCAGCUCAACUGUUGGGCUUUCAGGAGAUACUGUCUGGCUCGAGGCCGGGAGAGGUGAGAGGUACUUCAGGGGUAGGGGUGAAAUCUUGUAAUCCUUGAAGGACCACCAGUGGCGAAGGCGUCUCACCAGAACGGACCUGACGGCAAGGGACGAAAGCUAGGGGCACGAACCGGAUUAGAUACCCGGGUAGUCCUAGCCGUAAACGAUACUCGCUAGGUGUCGGCCACGGUGCGACCGUUGUCGGUGCCGUAGGGAAGCCGUGAAGCGAGCCACCUGGGAAGUACGGCCGCAAGGCUGAAACUUAAAGGAAUUGGCGGGGGAGCAC